AGCAGCGUGGCUCAGUGGAAAGAGCCUGGGCUUUGGAGUCAGAGGUGGUGGGUUCGACUCCCGGCUCUGCCA
rnacentral:tRNA from 1 species